ACGACGUACUUGCAAUUUCCCAUGUCUGUUGGUUUGCAGUAAGGACCACAUAUUGGCUUUGGAGUUCGGUAGCAAGACGAGUUAUGUAGUCGUUUCCAAUUUAACACAUGUUUCAGCUGUGGACUUUCAUUAUAACCUGGGCUACAUAUUCUGGAUUGAUAACGGCGAAAGAAACAUCAAGCGUUCUAAUAUGGACGGCACAAACAUAAAUGUUAUUCAUAACAAGACAGGAGUCGGUUUGGGUUUAGCAGUUGAGUGGAACUCCUUACAAUUGUAUUGGACUGAUUCAACGAAUGGUACCAUAUCGGUGUCAGACUUUCAGGGAAAUAACAAGAAAGCCCUCUGGUCCUCAAAAACUGAAAAGCCGGAUGGAAUUGUUCUCGACCCAUAUGAGGGAUUGAUGUUUUGGACUGAUUGGGGGAACCAGCCGAAAAUUGAGAGAUCAACUUUACUCGGAACUCAGCGUGUCGCAAUAGUAACGACUCGUGUUGUGAUCCCAUAUGGCAUCACCCUUGAUCGACAAAGCAAACUCAUUUUCUGGGUGGACGGUGGAAUGGACGUAAUAGAGUCCGCUGACUACAAUGGAAGCAACAGAAAACUUCUCUUUCAGCGAAGUGGAAUUUCUUUUUCUGGAGUUACUUUUACCUCGUCAUAUCUGUUCAUCAAUGGGUGGUUACAAAAUUGGGUUUGCAAAGUGGAUGCCUAUAAUGGAACAGUUGUAGAUAAUGUAACAACCAGCAGCAUUUUCUCAGAGGGAAUCGUCGCAUUUGACAGCUCGCAGCAGUUACCAGGUAAUCUGGUUGUGAUAGCUAUCCUAUCUGCAACAUUUAUUCUAAAAAUGUUAAGGGCAAAAAUAAAUAAGAAAGAUGCCAACGCAAUGGAAAUGUCAAUGAAGUAAGAAGAUGACAACGCAAUGGAACCUGGACAGGACAGGAGUUUGCUUGCUAAGCUCUUCGGUGUCCGCUGCCGACCAAUGGUAUACCUUUGGAAUGUAACUUUACUAGUACGACAGAGUUGUUAUAUGACG
rnacentral:misc_RNA from 1 species